rnacentral:rRNA from 1 species
UUGGAGGGCAAGUCUGGUGCCAGCAGCCGCGGUAAUUCCAGCUCCAAUAGCGUGUAUUAAAGUUGUUGCAGUUAAAAAGCUCGUAGUUGAAUUUCGGGGUUCAUCCGUUGGUCGGGCUUUUUGGUCUGUACUGGCGUGAUGGAUUCCUACCUUCUGAAUAACCAGCAUGUCAUUAAUUUGGUGCGCUGGGGAAGCAGGACUGUUACCUUGAAAAAAUUAGAGUGCUUAAAGCAGGCUAUCGCCUGAAUACAUUAGCAUGGAAUAAUGAAAUAGGACGGCAUGGUUCUAUUUUGUUGGUUUCUAGGAUCACCGUAAUGAUUAAUAGGGAUAGUUGGGGUCAUUGGUAUUCAAUUGUCAGAGGUGAAAUUCUUGGAUUUAUUGAAGACUAACUUCUGCGAAAGCAUUUGCCAAGGAUGUUUUCAUUAAUCAAGAACGAAAGUUAGGGGAUCGAAGACGAUCAGAUACCGUCGUAGUCUUAACCAUAAACUAUGCCGACUAGGGAUCGGACGAUGUUAAUUUUUUAAUGACUCGUUCGGCGCCUUACGGGAAAC